AUUGGGCGUAAGGGCUCGCAGGCGGUUUCUUAAGUCUGAUGUGAAAGCCCCCGGCUCAACCGGGGAGGGUCAUUGGAAACUGGGAAACUUGAGUGCAGAAGAGGAGAGUGGAAUUCCACGUGUAGCGGUGAAAUGCGUAGAGAUGUGGAGGAACACCAGUGGCGAAGGCGACUCUCUGGUCUGUAACUGACGCUGAGGAGCGAAAGCGUGGGGAGCGAACAGGAUUAGAUACCCUGGUAGUCCACGCCGUAAACGAUGAGUGCUAAGUGUUAGGGGGUUUCCGCCCCUUAGUGCUGCAGCUAACGCAUUACACACUCCGCCUGGGGAGGACGGUCGCAAGACUGAAACU
rnacentral:rRNA from 1 species